CUCAGUGUUCACAUUGGCUCUCUUUCUCUCCACAGAUGGCUGCUAGGAUACAGGGACACAAUGAAUCGUUCUCAAGACGUUUGCUCACCUCUGCGCUGAUUACAGCGUCUAGGUAGGUAUGACUCUCUCCACAGCUCAAUAUCUCAGUGUUCACAUUGGCUCUCUUCCUCUCCACAGAUGGCUGCUAGGAUACAGGGACACAAUGAAUCGUUCUCAAGACGUUGCUCACCUCUGCGCUGAUUACAGCUUCUAGGUAGGUAUGGCUCUCUUUCUUUCCACAGUUCAGUAUCUCAGUGUUCAACGUUGGCUCCCUUUCUCUCCACAGCUCUCACAACUCACUCGCUUUCCUGUCAAUCAGCAGACGUAACAAGUUACAUAGAGACUUACAGGGGUCGCGAGCUUACGCUGGCUAGUUUCUGCAAUGCGGCGAUUAAGCAAUAGUUUGUACUGGGACGCCGGGGGCCAAGACCCUCUCGGCGAACUCGUUGAUGAACAGAGGGGCGAGAACCACGCCGGCACACCGGGUCGAACGCUGCCCGUUCCUCGAGACCCGUUGGUCAAUCGAAAACUGGACCGGGGCGCCCUUUCGUCGAGACCUCGGGCCAGCGGAUCUCUCCUGCCUCUACUCUGUGAUGAUGAAAGAACACAGGUUGUCUUCAUGCCAACAGUAACUCAGGCAGCUAGACAGGGCGCUUUCCAGCCACAAACACCACUUUUCCCACAGAUAUAUACUCACAGUGCUCCCAGCUGUGUGUAGUUUAGCUGAUUACAGCGUUCGCGACGCCACCGGAUGUCCGGU